GACGAACGCUGGCGGCGUGCCUAAUACAUACAAGUCGAGCGGACAGAAGGGAGCUUGCUCUCGGAAGUCAGCGGCGGACGGGUGAGUAACACGUGGGCAACCUGCCUGUAAGACUGGGAUAACUUCGGGGUACCGGAGCUAAUACCGGAUAGGUUCGUCCUCCGCAUGGGGGAAGAUGGAAAGACGGUUUCGGCUGUCACUUUCAGAUGGGCCCGCGGCGCAUUAGCUAGUUGGUGGGGUAAUGGCCCACCAAGGCGACGAUGCGUAGCCGACCUGAGAGGGUGAUCGGCCACACUGGGACUGAGACACGGCCCAGACUCCUACGGGAGGCAGCAGUAGGGAAUCUUCCGCGAUGGACGAAAGUCUGACGGAGCAACGCCGCGUGAGCGAAGAAGGCCUUCGGGUCGUAAAGCUCUGUUGUUAGGGAAGAACAAGUGCCAGAGUAACUGCUGGCACCUUGACGGUACCUGACCAGAAAGCCACGGCUAACUACGUGCCAGCCGCCGCCGUAA
rnacentral:rRNA from 1 species